rnacentral:rRNA from 1 species
UACGUAGGGACCAAGCGUUGUUCGGCUUUACUGGGCGUAAAGGGCGCGUAGGCGGCCAUUCAAGUCAGCUGUGAAAUCUCCGGGCUUAACUCGGAACGGUCAGCUGAUACUGCUUUGCUAGAGUGCAGAAGGGGCAAUCGGAAUUCUUGGUGUAGCGGUGAAAUGCGUAGAUAUCAAGAGGAACACCUGAGGUGAAGACGGGUUGCUGGGCUGACACUGACGCUGAGUGCGCGAAAGCUAGGGUAGCAAACGGG